rnacentral:rRNA from 1 species
UACGUAGGUAGCAAGCGUUGUCCGGAAUUAUUGGGCGUAAAGCGCGCGCAGGCGGCCUCUUAAGUCUGAUGUGAAAGCCCCCGGCUCAGCCGGGGAGGGCCAUUGGAAACUGGGAGGCUUGAGUAUAGGAGAGAAGAGUGGAAUUCCACGUGUAGCGGUGAAAUGCGUAGAGAUGUGGAGGAACACCAGUGGCGAAGGCGACUCUUUGGCCUAUAACUGACGCUGAGGCGCGAAAGCGUGGGGAGCAAACAGG